ACUUUAGUCUUAAUUGAUUUAAUUUUGGCUUUUAUUAAGUUUAAUUAAAAUAUUAUUUUAGUUAAAAGAUUUUAGUAGUUUUAAAGAAAAAUUUAUAUAAUUUAUAGUGUAAUUUUAUUGUGAAAGAUUGAUGAAAUAAUUGAAAAUUUAAUUUUUUAAAAGUAAACUUAAUUUUUUGUAUCUUGUGUAUCAGAGUUUAUUUAAAAAUUUUUAAGUAUAUAAAUUUCUCGAAAUUAAGAGAUUUAAUUAAGUGUGUUAGUUAAUGUAUAAUAAUUAUUAAUUAUUCUUAGUUAGAAAUGAAACGUUAUUCGUUCUUUAUGAUAUCUAGUUAUUUAAGAAAUUAUUUUAAUUUAAACAAAAUUUAAUUAAUUAACUUAUUAUUUAGUUUAUUAAAAAUUUCUGUUUAUAUGUUAUGGGAUAAUCUAUAGCGUAUAUAUUUACACAAGUUGUAUAUGUUUAUUAAAAUUAAUAAAAAUAAAAUUUUUUAUUUAAUUUAAUUUAUUAUAAAUAAUUUUGUUACAUUUAUAUUUUAAUUUAAUAAGUUAAUUUAAUUAUUAAAUUAUAAGUUUAAAUUUUUCUAAUUUAAAAAUAAUGAUAAAAUUAGUAUAUUUAAAUUUAACUAGUAAUUUUGAUGUUAGGUUAUUUUAAGGAAUUCGGCAAAUUUAUAUUCGCUUGUUUAACAAAAACAUGUCUUUUUGAUUAAUAAUUUAAAGUCUAAUCUGCCCACUGAAUUAAAUUUAAAGGGCUGCGGUAUUUUGACUGUGCGAAGGUAGCAUAAUAAAUAGUCUUUUUAUUGAAGACUGGAAUGAAUGAUUGGACGAAAUAAAAACUGUCUCAUUUUAAAUUAAAUAGAACUUAAUUUUUUAGUCAAAAAGCUAAAAUAUUAUUAAAAGACGAGAAGACCCUUUAGAUCUUUAUAAUUAAUUUUAAUUAAAUUCAUUUUUAGAAAAAAUUAUUUGGUUGGGGUGAUCUUGAAAUUUAUUUAACUUUUUAUAUUUAUUACCAAAAAUUUUUGAUUAAAUUGAUCCUGUAUUACAGAUUAUUAGAUUAAGAUACCUUAGGGAUAACAGCGUAAUUUAAUUUUUAAGUUCUUAUUGAAAGUUAAGUUUGCGACCUCGAUGUUGGAUUAAAAUUAUUUUUGGGUGCAAAAUUUCAAAUGUUAAGUCUGUUCGACUUUUAAAAUUUUACAUGAUCUGAGUUCAGACCGGUGUAAGCCAGGUUGGUUUCUAUCUUUAUUAAAAAGUUUUAUUUUAGUACGAAAGGAUUUGAUAAAAAAAAUAAAUUUUAUAAAUAAUGAAUAUUAUUAAUUUAAGAUU
rnacentral:rRNA from 1 species